UCAACGACCCACCGCCUAGCGCCUACGGCGCUUGAGGCAGGGGCUUGAAAAGGCUCUUGUUGACUAGCCUAAGUUCUUCAAGAACUACGUUGUUUUCGUUAUCACACCCUGGAGUGUACAUCCUAGCUCCUCGCUCCG
rnacentral:sRNA from 1 species